rnacentral:rRNA from 1 species
GUGGGGAAUAUUGGACAAUGGGCGAAAGCCUGAUCCAGCAAUGCCGCGUGAGUGAUGAAGGCCUUAGGGUUGUAAAGCUCUUUUACCAGGGAUGAUAAUGACAGUACCUGGAGAAUAAGCUCCGGCUAACUCCGUGCCAGCAGCCGCGGUAAUACGGAGGGAGCUAGCGUUGUUCGGAAUUACUGGGCGUAAAGCGCGCGUAGGCGGUUUAUCAAGUCAGGGGUGAAAUCCCGGGGCUCAACCCCGGAACUGCCCUUGAAACUGGUUCACUAGAAUCAUGGAGAGGCGAGUGGAAUUCCGAGUGUAGAGGUGAAAUGCGUAGAUAUUCGGAAGAACACCAGUGGCGAAGGCGACUCGCUGGACAGGUAUUGACGCUGAGGUGCGAAAGCGUGGGGAGCAAACAGGAUUAGAUACCCCGGUAGUCC